rnacentral:rRNA from 1 species
CGAGAGUAACUGCUCGUACCUUGACGGUACCUAACCAGAAAGCCACGGCUAACUACGUGCCAGCAGCCGCGGUAAUACGUAGGUGGCAAGCGUUAUCCGGAAUUAUUGGGCGUAAAGCGCGCGCAGGCGGUCUCUUAAGUCUGAUGUGAAAGCCCACGGCUCAACCGUGGAGGGUCAUUGGAAACUGGGAGACUUGAGUGCAGGAGAGAAAAGUGGAAUUCCACGUGUAGCGGUGAAAUGCGUAGAGAUGUGGAGGAACACCAGUGGCGAAGGCGGCUUUUUGGCCUGUAACUGACGCUGAGGCGCGAAAGCGUGGGGAGCAAACAGGAUUAGAUACCCUGGUAGUCCACGCCGUAAACGAUGAGUGCUAGGUGUUGGGGGGUUCCACCCUCAGUGCUGAAGUUAACACAUUAAGCACUCCGCCUGGGGAGUACGACCGCAAGGUUGAAACUCAAAGGAAUUGACGGGGGCCCGCACAAGCAGUGGAGCAUGUGGUUUAAUUCGAAGCAACGCGAAGAACCUUACCAGGUCUUGACAUCCUCUGAUCACUCUAGAGAUAGAGCUUUCCCCUUCGGGGGACAGAGUGACAGGUGGUGCAUGGUUGUCGUCAGCUCGUGUCGUGAGAUGUUGGGUUAAGUCCCGCAACGAGCGCAACCCUUGACCUUAGUUGCCAGCAUUCAGUUGGG